GACGAACCGUGCGAACGUUGUUCGGAAUCACUGGGCGUAAAGGGCGCGUAGGCGGCCUGAUAAGUAGGGGGUGAAAUCUUGCGGCUUAACCGCAAGGCUGCCUUCUAAACUGUCAGGCUAGAGCACAGUAGAGGCAGGUGGAAUUCCCGGUGUAGCGGUGGAAUGCGUAGAGAUCGGGAAGAACAUCAGUGGCGAAGGCGGCCUGCUGGGCUGUUGCUGACGCUGAGGCGCGACAGCGUGGGGAGCAAACAGG
rnacentral:rRNA from 1 species